rnacentral:rRNA from 1 species
UGUGUUUAACGGCUGCGGUAUUUUGACUGUGCUAAGGUAGCGUAAUCAAUUGUUUUUUAAUUGAAAACUGGAAUGAAAGGUUAAACAGACUAAGAUAGUUUGUAUAGUUUAGUUGGUAAGUUAAAGUCAAGGUAAGAAUUCUUUGAUGUUUCUAGGGGACGAUAAGACCCUAGAAGCUUUAAAAAAGAAAAGUUUUUAGUAAAUGUAUGAGUUUUUUACUGGGGCGGUAUUAGUAUUUUAACUAUUAACAAUAAAGGUUGGUCCUUAAUAUAAAGAUAAUUCGGUUAAGUUACUCUAGGGAUAACAGUGCGGUAUUUUUGGAAAGAUCUUAUUAAUAAGAAUGUUCGCAACCUCGAUGUUGAAUUAAGAUGUCUACGUGGGGUAGUAAAUAU